CACCAGAAGACCAACAACUUGAACAUCUUUGAUCAAGUUAACCAUAUCAUAUAUGAGUUGACUUCACUGUCCACACUUCCACUUGUUUUUCUCGGUAAAGAUGAUUCAAGUACCUGCACACUUCCUUUGUCUCUAAAUAGAUGUCUCUUACUGCACCACAAAUGUCCAACAGCCUGACACAUCCAUCCAAGACCUGUUCUUCCCAUUUUGCCAGUCUUUCAUCAGAGAGAGCUUGUUAACUGAAAGGAAGCUGAACCACAUCAUCCAGACACUAAGACAAGUUGAGGCCAUCCAAUAUUUGGCCUGCCAAUGAAUGUGAAGUUGAGGAUGGCAUCUCUGAUGACUUCAAUCUUUACAGGUGUUUCUCAGCAGUCACGAUAAGAGGGUGAGAUGAAGGAGGCAAACUAACCAAACGAGAAUGGCUAGAGAAUUUUGGAUUUAGAGAAUGGCUAAACUGAACUGCCGUCGGUCAAGAUUCCUUUUGCUUUCCAGAUCGUGCAGGAGUUAGCCUAUUGUGGCAUUCGUGUUCAUCAGCUUCAAGAACUAUGAUAAAGAGAUGGACCAAUUGUUGUCUCAACUUUGGGAGCUAGAGCAAAUAUUGCGUAUUCUCUAGCAACUAUUAAAGCAACUUGGCAUAUGCAAUCAAAUGCUUCACCAUCUAAAGUUCUCAUCCAAUGACUGCAAGCAGUGAGCAUCAUCCCUCUAAGAGACGCAGGAUGUAUUGUGUUCGUCCAAGUAUGUAUUGCGUUCUGUAACCAACAUAAUUUGAUUAUGACAAGGAGGCGAGGUUGAAGUUGAACUUGUGCUCUAGCAGCAGUAUAUGCAGCAGCAUUUACAUUUGAUGGUGCCAGUAAAGAAGCAAAACAGAAGGAACAAUCUUCGCGAAAGGAACAAGAAUCAAUAGGACUAGGAUGCAAACAAACCAAGCAAUGCAUAAGGUGUCUGGUCCCCAGCUUGACCUGAGUUCAGGAUUGUCUGUGAGCUCAAUCUGGUUAAACAGCUAAACGACUCCAGCUUGAGUCUUUUUGUUUUUUCUCAAGAAGCUGUUGAGUUUAAUGAGUACGUAAUUCUCUAAUUUGUUUUGGAAAACACAAAUAUGUGUCAAGCAACUAGAGCUCAUUAUUUUGUUGAGCUUAUUCCAGUCAAA